AUGAGCCCAACAGACUGGCUCUCUGACCCAGUCGAUGCCAUCAUCCCCUAUCCGCAUCAGCUGCUUCUCGCAACUCAGCCGGAAGCAUCGUUUAGAAUGGCGCUCGCUAGGGUUUCAUCUUCUUCCCGCCUCCUCCUACUCCCCUCCUCCCUGCUCCAAUCCUUCCUGCGCCCCUUCUCUACCUCCUCUGUCUCGGCUCGUCGCCUCUCUCACCCAAGAAGCCUCCCCAUCGAUGCCAGUCUCUCCCAAGCUUCUCCUCUCCCUGCUGCUGCGAGGGAGGAGGGGAAGGUGGCGGAAGCCCCGAGGUCCACCUCCAGGCGGCCGUGGAAGCCCACGUGCUUGUACUACACCCAGGGAAAAUGCACCAUGAUGGAUGAUGCUUUGCAUCUUGAAAAAUUCAAUCAUAAUUUGUCGAUGGACCUACCGGUGAAUGCCUCAGCUGCAGAUAAAGUGAAACCUCAGAAACUGGAUUAUUUUUUAGUUCUUGAUUUGGAGGGAAAGGUUGAAAUUCUUGAAUUUCCGGUUGUAAUGAUUGACGCACAUAGCAUGGAGUUCAUCGAUUCAUUUCACAGAUUUGUGCGCCCAACUGCAAUGAGUGAGCAACGAAUAAAAGAAUAUAUAGAAGGGAAAUAUGGAAAAUUUGGAGUUGACCGUGUAUGGCAUGACACUGCUAUCCCUUUCUGGGAAGUUCUUCAAGAGUUUGAAGACUGGAUUGGAGGUCACAAAUUGUGGAAACAGAAACAAGGAGAAUCCCUCAACAGUUCUGCAUUCGUUACUUGUGGUAAUUGGGAUUUGAAGACGAAGGUCCCUGAGCAGUGCAAGGUUUCAAAAAUAAAAUUGCCAUCUUACUUUAUGGAGUGGAUCAAUUUGAAGGAUAUCUACCUCAACUUCUACAAUAGAAGAGCAACUGGAAUGAUGACAAUGAUGAGGGAGCUUCAAAUCCCAAUUGCUGGAAGCCACCAUCUCGGGAUGGAUGACGCGAAAAACAUUACAAGAGUUGUUCAGCGCAUGCUUGCUGAUGGUGCUGUGAUACAAAUCACCGCGAGGAGGCAACCGGAUACAAGUGAUGUGAAAUUCCUUUUCAAGAACAGAAUCAGGUAA
rnacentral:rRNA from 1 species